rnacentral:lncRNA from 1 species
AUUUCACGGAAUUUGACUCAGAAAUUUUGUAUCUCUAUAAGCUUACAGCUAAUUGUUUCUAUUCGAUUAAGAAAGCUGUAACACCAGUUCUGAACCAUGGCAAUGAGUUGAAGCACUAAAAGAACUUGACAAAGGCUAGUUUAAACUAACAAAGCAUAUUGGUAGUGUGUUCUUUUUGUUCUUGUCAAUGCAGCACCUCCUG